UACGUAGGGCGCAAGCGUUAUCCGGAAUUAUUGGGCGUAAAGAGCUCGUAGGCGGUUUGUCGCGUCUGCCGUGAAAGUCCGGGGCUCAACUCCGGAUCUGCGGUGGGUACGGGCAGACUAGAGUGAUGUAGGGGAGACUGGAAUUCCUGGUGUAGCGGUGAAAUGCGCAGAUAUCAGGAGGAACACCGAUGGCGAAGGCGGUCAUCUGGCCCGGUACUGACGCUCAGGCACGAAAGUGUGGGUAGCAAACAGG
rnacentral:rRNA from 1 species